rnacentral:rRNA from 1 species
CCGAACCCACGAGCGUUGAAAAGCUCGGGGAUGACUUGUGGGUAGCGGUGAAAUUCCAAUCGAGCCCGGAGAUAGCUGGUUCUCCCCGAAAUAGCUUUAGGGCUAGCCUCAAGGUGAGAGAUACGGAGGUAGAGCACUGAAUGUCCUAGGGGGUAUUGCACCUACCGAAGACUAUUAAACUCCGAAUGCCGUCAUCUUAUACUUGGGAGUCAGACUGUGGGUGAUAAGAUUCAUAGUCGAAAGGGCAACAGCCCAGAUCGUCAGCUAAGGUCCCUAAAUGUAAGUUAAGUGGUAAAGGAUGUGGGAUUGCACAGACAACCAGGAUGUUGGCUUAGAAGCAGCCACUCAUU